UACGGGGGGAGCAAGCGUUGUUCGGAUUUACUGGGCGUAAAGGGCGCGUAGGCGGCCACCGCAAGUCGACUGUGAAAUCUCCGGGCCUAACCCGGAAAGGUCAGCCGAUACUGCGGGGCUAGAGUGCAGAAGGGGCAACUGGAAUUCUCGGUGUAGCGGUGAAAUGCGUAGAUAUCGAGAGGAACACCUGCGGCGAAGGCGGGUUGCUGGGCUGACACUGACGCUGAUGCGCGAAAGCUAGGGGAGCGAACGGG
rnacentral:rRNA from 1 species